AGUGAACGCUGGCGGUAGGCCUAACACAUGCAAGUCGAACGGCAGCACAGUAAGAGCUUGCUCUUACGGGUGGCGAGUGGCGGACGGGUGAGGAAUACAUCGGAAUCUACUUUUUCGUGGGGGAUAACGUAGGGAAACUUACGCUAAUACCGCAUACGACCUACGGGUGAAAGCAGGGGAUCUUCGGACCUUGCGCGAUUGAAUGAGCCGAUGUCGGAUUAGCUGGUUGGCUGGGUAAAGGCCCACCAAGGCGACGAUACGUAGCUGGUCUGAGAGGAUGAUCAGCCACACUAGAACUGAGACACGGUCCAGACUCCUACGGGAGGCAGCAGUGGGGAAUAUUGGACAAUGGGCGCAAGCCUGAUCCAGCCAUACCGCGUGGGUGAAGAAGGCCUUCCGGUUGUAAAGCCCUUUUGUUGGGAAAGAAAAGCAGCAGGUUAAUACCCCGCUGUUCUGACGGUACCCAAAGAAUAAGCACCGGCUAACUUCGUG
rnacentral:rRNA from 1 species